UACGUAGGGCGCGAGCGUUGUCCGGAAUUAUUGGGCGUAAAGGGCUCGUAGGCGGUCUGUCGCGUCGGGAGUGAAAACUCAGGGCUUAACCCUGAGCCUGCUUCCGAUACGGGCAGACUAGAGGUAUGCAGGGGAGAACGGAAUUCCUGGUGUAGCGGUGAAAUGCGCAGAUAUCAGGAGGAACACCGGUGGCGAAGGCGGCAUCCUGGACCGACACUGACGCUGAGGAGCGAAAGCCAGGGGAGCAAACGGG
rnacentral:rRNA from 1 species